rnacentral:rRNA from 1 species
GACGAACGCUGGCGGCGUGCUUAACACAUGCAAGUCGAACGGUGAAGCGCCUUCCUUUUUGGUGGGUGUGGAUGAGUGGCGAACGGGUGAGUAACACGUGAGUAACCUGCCCCCUUCUUUUGGAUAACCGCAUGAAAGUGUGGCUAAUACGGGAUAUUCUGGGUCUGUCGCAUGAUGGGUCUGGGACAGCUGUUGUUUCGGUGGGGGAUGGGCUCGCGGCUUAUCAGCUUGUUGGGGGGGUGAUGGCGUACCAAGGCGGUGACGGGUAGCCGGCUUUGACGGGUGGACGGCCACAGUGGGAGUGAGGCACCGCCGAGACUGCUACGGGAGGCAGCAGCGGAGAAUAGUGCACAGUGGGGGCAAGUGUGAUGCAGCGACGCCGCGUAAGCGAUGGAGGCCUGCGGGUUAUGAACCUCUUUCGCCAGUGAAGCAGGCCUGCCUCGUUUGUGGGUGGGUUGACGGUAGCUGGAUAAGAAGCGCCGGCUAACUACGUG